AUAUAAUUACUUAUUAAUUUUAAUUAUAAUAAAAGUAUAUUUUAUUUUAUUAAUUUAAUUGAAAAAAUUUUUAUAAUUAUAGUAAAUUAGUAUAGUGAUAGAAAUAAUUUAAAUAUAAAUAAGAAAAAUAGAAUUUGUACCUUGUGUAUCAGGGUUUAUUAAUUAAUAUUUAAUUAUUUAAAUUUCUCGAAUUAGAAAGAGUUAAUAGGGUAUAUAUUUUAAUGUUGAAUAAUUAUUUAUAAUACUUUAUUGGUAGUGAAAUGUUAGUCGUUUUCUAAUAUAUCUAGUUAUUUAAGAAAAAAAUUGAAUUUUAUUAUUAUAAAUUAAUAGAUUAAAUUUAAAAUUUAUUAAUAGUAAUAUUUUAUAUAUAAAGGGAUAAGUUUUUAUAUAUAUUAAUAUAAGUUAAUAUUUAUAUUAAUAAAAAGUAGGAUUAGAAAUUUUUAUCUUUAAUAGUUUGUUAUAAUUAAUUAUGAAUUUAAUUAGAUUUUUAUUAGCUUUAUUUUUUAUAUUAAAUAAUAUUAUAGAAUUUUAAUUUAUUAGGUAAAAUGAUAUAAUUAGUAUAUUUUUAUUUAUAGAUAAAUAUUUAAAAAAAGGUAAUUUAAAGGAAUUCGGCAAAUAUAUUUUUCGCCUGUUUAUUAAAAACAUGUCUUUUUGAUUAUAAUUUAAAGUCUAAUCUGCCCACUGAUUUAAUUAAAUGGCUGCAGUAUUUUGACUGUACAAAGGUAGCAUAAUAAUUAGUUUCUUAAUUAGAAGCUUGUAUGAAUGAUUUGACGAGAAAAUUACUGUCUCUAGGUUAUUUUAAUAUAAUUUUAUUUUUAAGUUAAAAAGCUUAAAUUUCAUUAAAAGACGAGAAGACCCUUUAGAGUUUUAUAUUUGAAUUUUUAUAAUUUUUAUAGUAAUUUAUAUUUUAUAUUGGUUUAAAUAAUUUAUUGGGGUGAUAUAAAAAAUUAAUUAACUUUUUAUUUAUAAGAUCAUUAAUUUAUGAUUUAUUGAUCCAAUAAUUUUGAUUAUAAGAUAAAAUUACCUAAGGGAUAACAGCGUAAUCCUUUUUAAGAGUUCAAAUCGAAAAUGGGGAUUGCGACCUCGAUGUUGGAUUAAAAUUAAGGCUUGGUGUAGUAGUUAAGCUUUUAGGUCUGUUCGACCUUUAAAAUUUUACAUGAUCUGAGUUUAGACCGGCGUGAGCCAGGUUGGUUUCUAUCUUUAAUAAAAUAUAAUAUUUUAGUACGAAAGGACCAAUUAUUAGUAAUAGUUAUU
rnacentral:rRNA from 1 species